UUGCGUCACUUCCGCGCGACAGGUAUGUCUGCUCCUGCUGUCUUUCUGGUAAAGCUUCUCUGCUGGUAUGCUUAGGGCAUUUGCUUUGUGCCAUACAGCGACUGGUGUCCCCGUUUGGUGCACGAGUGUGUGUGCGCGUCCCCCGCUCCUGGCUUCAUGUGGCUUCAUGUGUGUGUACCUGCCGCUACUGACAGGCCUGGGUGCUCGUGUGUGCUGCUGAUGUCAGCCGACUGGGACCACUGCUGUUUUGUCUCCUGCCACUUUGUCUCCACUGUCUCCAACCGCUGCUUGGCUUUCUCCAGCGUAGACCUCUGCUCCAGUGUUUGCUGAGGGCUGGUGGUGUUGGUGCUGGUGUCCGGGUGGUGGCGUCCCCCUCCUCCUGUGUGCUGUGGUCCUGAGGAAUUGGUUCACAUCCAGAGUAAUGACUGCUUUCUCCAAAUCAACCUGAAAUACAGCAGAGAUCUGGUGACAGUGGACGUCCGUUUCCUUCCACACUAUUCCUGAGAUGAGUGGCUGGUGUUUGGUGUGUGAGUGAGUUGUGAACAACAUAUUUUAUUUAGCAAGUCAAAAUUAUUCUAAUGAGGUUACAUUGAUUACACAUCCUCACAGAUGAGUUAAUCUGCCACAAGACUCACAAGAAAUAUUGCUGUUUCAUUAAUCAAAACAUUGUGUUCAUCACAUUAAUGCUGCUGCAUAAUUCAAAGCAAGAGUGCACCUUUUUUAAACUGAGAACAGUCACUGGAAGUUUUUUUCUUUCUCUUAACAGUACUUUCAGCUGGGACAGUGUUUCCUACGUUUUAUGGAUAAUUCUCCCUUACACUGAUAUUUAUGUGAAAUUCUUUUAAAUGCCACCAAGGCCAAUAUGUUCUUAAAUGCGUUUUACAAUUAAUGCAAGGGUCAGUAACCAAGCUGUCCUGUUAUAGUACUAAAUCAGUUCACUAAUAUGCUGUCAGUCAUGUAAAGCUCAUUAAAGCUGCAGUGAAACAUUUAGUCUACAUUGUGUAAAUUAAAUCUAGAGCAGACUGAUUAAACUCACACUGUACAUUUCUAAUCAGAAGAUUCCACCAAGUAGCUGCUGCUAACACUGAGACAUCUGACAAUCUUUGAAGCUUUUUUGGAGUAGCUCUCUCAUUAGAAGCCAAGUGUGGUAUUUUCAGGCUCAUUAGGUCUUUGAAAUCUGUGCCGGAAGACCUAAGUUGAGUGGAAAAGUGUGUGUGUGUACGUGUGUGGCGGAAAACAAUUUGUUGAAAUGCAAGCAUCUACAUCUUGUCACAUAAUUUCCUCAAGAUCCUGAAUAUUUUAUUCUCUAAUAUUUAUUUCUGUCGGUGGUGAUAUGUGCAGAUUUUAUUUUUUUUUUCCAGAGUGGAGGCUUAUAAUUGAAAGUGCUUGUGCUCUCUGAUAACAGCAGGCAUCUCUUAUUUCCUCCCAUUGAUCAUGUUGAUUCGAGUUCCUGUUUUGAGAGCUAAUGGUAAGCCAUAUGCAGAGACUGAAGACUUAUGUUGGAAGCUUAACAGCAUCUUUGUGUUAUGAUGGAGCAAAAAGCUACUUCAGGCAGCCAAUCCAUGUGUUCAGCUCUGCCCCUUAUGUAAUUCUUAAAUACAGUGAAUACCAUCCACAUAUAAGAAGACAUUUGUUGUAGUCUGGGUGAAACUCUGCUGCCGUCACUGCUGCUGUUGCUAACCAACCCCACAUCCAGCUGUUGACUUAGUUCCUGCAGACAGUGAUGAGGUCAGAGACGAAAUGUCAGAUAGAAUAUUUAUAUAAUGAUCUUCAUGUAAACCAGUCAGCCAUGACACUAAAACCACUGACAGGUGAAUGAAUCAUCUCAUUACAAUAAAAUACUCUGCUGGGAAACUUUGAAACCCUGGCAUUCAUGUGGUAAUUACCUUCAAGAUUCUAGAUCCAAGAUUCAAAGUUCUUCAUUGUCAUACCAGCACAUGUAUACACAUGAGAAGGCACAAAAUAAGGUACUUGGGUCCUGGUUUUAAGCCACACAAAUAAAUAAAAAAUAUAUAAAUAAAGGGAAUGAAAAGCACAAUUAAAGCAAUAUAAUCAAGUGAUUACAAGUGAUAAACAGAUAAAUAGGCAUGUGUGCAAAUGCAGUUGAUCGGCUGUGUUGUGAACUAGGUCCAUUGGUCUGUAUUGCACAUGUAAAAAUUGUUUGUAGUUGCAUGUAGGUGGAAAAGCUACAGAGCACCUCCAGAGUUCAACAGUCUCCUGGAAAGAAGCUGUUAAUCAGCCUGGUAGUCGUGUCCCGGAUUCUCCACAGCCUCCUAACUGAAGGCAGAGGAGCAAAGAGUGAAUGUGCAGGAUGAGGGGAGUCCUUCAUGAUGCAGACAGCACUCUUUCUGCAUCUACUGUUGUAAAUGGUUGGUAGACUGCUCCCAACAAUCCAGUCUGACUUACCUCGACUUGUACCACACGUCUGAACAUUGUUGCAGACAAAGCACACUCCAGUAGCAAUGUCAGCCCUCUCUAGCAGAACAAUGCUCCCUGACACACUGUAAAAACUGCUUAGGAAGAGCUCAAGGAACAUGACACAGAGCCCAAGGCAUUGACCCAACCUCCAAAGUUCCCAGAUCGCAAUUCAGUCAAGCAUCUCCAAGAUGCAUCAUAAAAAGCCAGAUCGAAGGAGUCCAAACCCUGCAAACAAGAAGACCCAAAGGAUCUGCUGCCAAUAACUCAAAGUCAGACCUCACAGAACACCACAAGAGGUCAACUGUCCGUGUUCCGUCAGGCCAGUUUUGGUGGCAUGAGAAGGACCUUCACAAUAUUAGGCAGGUGGUUGUGUUGGGGCAGAUCAGGGAAAACAUACCGUACAUCAAAUAAAAUAGAAAUGAAUUUUCAAAUGCUUCCAAAUAGUACAUCUACUUCUAAGUUAAGUGACAAGCUCAGAUUCAACCAAACUUGCCUCCAAACAGAAGUUAAAGUCACUACUGAUUGAACCCCAUAGCUAUGGGGUUUCAUUCCACCAAACUCUCUCUGUGGACAGCUGCGGGGUCUGUACUGAAACACUAUUUAAAAAAAAUGCUCACCUUGUGAGCUCGUAAGAUUGGUUUAUUGAAACAUGAAACUUUGGCUAUGUGAAUCUGUUUCAUCAAUACUCUGUAGUUUUAAGGUAGAAAUACUCAGCUUGACUGUCCAUUUCACUCAUACUAUGUUCUCUAGAACAUAGAAAAACACCAUAUGAACAUGUUAGCAGUGUACAAAAAUGCAUUAUAAUAUUUUUGGACCAUUCCAUUCUGAUCUUUUUUAGUGCACCACACAGUUUUAAAACAGCCCAAUUAAAGCAGGUCAAAUAAUGCAUUAAAGGUUAUUGUUGUGAUUUUUCAAAACAGCCACUUACUUUUCCCUUUUUCAUUGCUAAGAUCAUCCACAGGACCUAAGCACUCAAAUCGUAAUCCUCUCAGUGUUGGUAUUGUUUCUCUGGAAUUGAGUUCUUGAAUUCCUCUGUCAACUUCUCAGUUGUAAUAGUUGUUAUGAAUAUUUGAAGAUUUCCGUGGUUUUGGUGCAUAGUUGCGAGUCAGCCGGAACCAGUUGGGUGGUUUCCAGCUAAACUACAAUUUGUGUUCUGGAGUGACAAGUUAGUUCAGUUCAUAAUGGUAAUCACUUUAUUCUUGGUUAGUGUGUAAUCUGCAUUAUACAAUAAUGCAUGUAUGUACAAUAGAUUCACAAUUAUAUAUUAGAAUUAUAUUGUGUAUUAAGUUUCAGCCAUACAAUAUGUAAAGCCAAUGAAUGUGAAACAGCAGUCACAAGUGGCUGAUAUAAAGAAUGUGUUUUGUGCCAGAAAUGCUUGUGUGUG